CGAGGUGGCGGGCGCCUGUAGUCCCAGCUACUCGGGAGGCUGAGGCAGGAGAAUGGCGUGAACCCCGCGGGGCGGAGCCUGCAGUGAGCCGAGAUCGCGCCACUGCACUCCAGCUUGGGUGAAAAAGCGAGACUCCAUCUCAAAAAAAAAAAUAAUAAUAAUCUUUGAGUUGCCCCUGUUAGUACAGCACCAAUCCAAAACACACCCCUGUCCUUGGACCCUCCCCAAAAUCACCAGCCACAAGUCCAAAUGGUAUAACAAGCCCUCUAACAAGUCUCCUAAGACACCCCAUGGUUUCAGAGGUGUGAUGUCUCAUUGCAGCAACUAACAGCCCCAAAUAAUAACUAGUUCACAGUGAGGAAUAUAUGCAUUCACUGAAAUAGCAAAUCAUCAUUCCACCAUAUGUAUGCCUUUUGUAGUCUGACUGGUAGACACGGCAAAUAUAGAUACACUUAUAUAUGAAGGAUACGUAACUCAUAUGCACAAAUGAAACUUCAGAGCCUAUACUCUAAUGAAAAAUCAAAAUAAAUUUUUCUUUCUUUUUUUUUUUAACUCUUUGAGACAGGGUCUUGCACCAUCCCCUAGCCAGGAGUGCAGUGGCAGGAUCUCAGCUCGCUGCAGCCUUGACAGCUCAAGCAAUCUUCCCACCUCAGCCUCUCAGCCUCCCGGUAGCUGGGACGACAGGGGGUCACCACCACACCCAGCUGAUUUUUUUUUUUUUUUUUUUUUGAGAUGGUGUCUCGCACUGUCUCCCGGGCUGGAGUGCAAUGGUGCGAUCUCGGCUCACUGCAACCUCCACCUCCCAGGUUCACGGGAUUCUCCUGCUUCAGCCUCCGGAGUAGUUGGGAUUACAGGCGCACACCACCACACCCGGCUAACUUUUUGUGUUUUUAGUAGAGAGGGGGUUUCACUAUGUUGGCCAGACUGGUCUCAAACUCCUGACCUCAUGAUCUGUCCUUCUUGGCCUCCCAAAGUGCUGGGAUUACAGGGUUGAGCCACCGUUCCUAGCCACACCCAGCUGAUUUUUAAAUUUUUUUGGAGAGACACAGACUUGCUAUGUUACCUAGGCUGGUCUCUAACUCCUGGGCUCAAGUGAUCCUCCUCCUGCAUUGGCCUCCCAAAGUGCUGGGAUUACAGCUGUGAGCCACUGCAUCUGGCCAAAACAAACAUUUCUUUUUUUUUUUUUUUUUUUGGACACUGAGUCUUGCUAUGUUGUCCAGGCUAGAGUGCAGAGGUUGCAGUGAACCGAGAUCACGCCACUGCCUAGGCAACAGUGCGAGACUCUGUCUCAAAAAAAAAAAAAAUACAAAAAUUAGCUGGGCAUAGUGGCGCAAGCCUGUAGUCCCAGCUACUGGGGAGGCAGAGGUGAGAGAAUCGCUUGAACUUGGGAGGCAGAUGUUGCAGUGAGCUGAGAUCGUGCCAUUGCAACAUAGGGAGGCCCCAUCUCAAAAAAAAAAAAAAAAAAAGAACCACAGAUGUAGCCAGGCACAGGGGCUGAUGCGUGUAAUCCCAGCUACUCAGGAGGCUGUGGUGAGAGAAUCAUUUGAGCCUGGAACUUUAAGACCAGCCUAAGCAACGUAGUGAGACCCUGUCUCUAAAAAAAAAAAUUUUAGGCCAGGUGCGGUGGCUCACGCCUGUAAUCCCAGCACUUUGGGAGGCUGAGGCAGGUGGAUCAUGAGGUCAGGAGUUCAAGACCAGCCUGGCCAAGAUGGUGAAACCCUGUCUCUAUAAAAAAUACAAAAAUUUUCCUGGUGUGGUGGCGGGCACCUGUAAUCCCAGCUAAUCGAGAAGCUGAGGCAGAGAAUUGCUGAGAUCACGCCACUGCACUCCAGCCUGGGCAACAAGAGCAAAACUCCGUCUCAAAAAAAAAAAAUUUUUUUUAAUAAGCUAAAACAGGCUGGGAACAUGGCUAAAACCCGUCUCUACAGAAAACAUACAAAAAAAUUAGCUAGGUGUGGUAGCAAGUGCUGGUGGUCCCAGCUACUCAGGAGGCUGAGGUGGAAAGAUCACCUGAGCCCAGGACGUUGAGGCUACAGUGAGCCAUGAUCAUGCCACUGCACUACAGCCUGGGCAACAGAGUAAGACUCUAUCUCAAAAUAAUUAAUUAAAAUAAAUAUAAAAUUAAAUUUAAAACCCCAAAUGUGGCUGAGUGUGGUGGCUUACACCUAUAAUCCUAGCACUUUGGGAGGCUGAGGCAGGAGGAUCAAUUAAGCCCAGGAGUUUGAGACCAGCCUGGGCAACACAGUGGGACCCUGUCUCUAUAAAAAAUAAAACCCACAAAUCUGCAGGAGGAACAGGAAAAGUUUUGGUAAGGCGGCAUUGUCAAAUCAAAAGAGAAGGAAGGAAGGUAUCUCUUUAGACUCUGCAAACACAUUGACACAUCUCCUGAGCUUUUCUUGGUGUUGUCAGCAUCACCCAGCCCCAUCCCCUACUCCUAGACUUCCCCAGACACAGAAAUUAAUCAACACUGUACAGGACAACCAACAAAACAGAAAAUAGGGUACUCAAGCCUGGACACCAGACAGUCACCAUGGGACAGCCCAGCCUUCUGCAGUAAUAGUGGACAGAUGUUUCCAUUCAGGGAAUCCAAUAAUAAAAGGAAAAUAAAUGUGCAUGUUAAGGGCAGAAAAGAGGGAGAAGAGGGAUUACUUGACUUACAGCAAUUGCAGCUUGGAGUCUGUCUUCCAGAAUCUGAUGGCUUUCAUAAUUAUGUGGUAUGAGUGGAGGCUACCUCUGUAGCAGUGCUGUAGAAUAGAAUAUAGAAAUACAUAAGCCAGCCAGGCACAGUGGUUCACGCCUGUAAUCCCAGCACUGUAGGAGGCAGAGGUGGGUGGAUCCUCUGAGGUCAGGAGUUCAAGACUAGCCUGACUGACAUGGAGAAACCCUGUCUCUACUAAAAAUAUAAAAUUAGCCAGGCAUGGUGGCGCAUGCCUGUAAUCCCAGCUACUCCGUAGGCUGGGGCAGGAGAAUUGCUUGAACCCAGGAGGCGGAGGUUGUGGUGAGCCGAGACCGCGCCACUGCACUCUAGCCUGGGCGACAGAGCAGGACUCUGUCUCAAAAAAAAAAAAAAAUUGCUACUAGCUGCAUUUAUAAAAGUAAAAAGAAACGGGUGAAAUUAAUGUUAAUAUUUUAUUUGAUUCAAUAUAUCCAAACUAUUAUAUUUCACAUGUGAUUAAUAAAGUUAUCCAUGAGACAUUUGACAUUCUUUUUUUCUGUAUUGUCUUUGAAACCUGGUAUUACAGCACAUCUCAAUGCAUAUGCUAUAUCUUCCUGGGUAUACUUAAUUUUUAUUUAGAAUCCAUAAAAAUAAUAGUUGACGCUGGGUGCAGUGGCUCAAGCCUGUAAUCCCAGCACUUUGGGAGGCCGAAGCGGGCAGAUCACGAGGUCAAGAGAUCGAGACCUUCCUGGCCAAUAUGGUGAAACCCCGUCUCUACUAAAAAUACAAAAAUUAGCUGGACAUGGUGGUGGGUGCCUGCAGUCCCAGCUACUCAGGAAGGUGAGGCAGGAUAAUCGCUUGAACCUUGGAGGUGGAGAUUGCAGUGAGCCGAGAUCAGGCCACUGCACUCCAGCCUGGCGACAAAGCAACACUCUGUCUCAAAAAUAAAAUAAAAUAAUAGUUGAAAAAGUAGAUUCACAUACCCAAGUUGUUCUAAACAUACUUAAAAGUCUUCUAGGCCGGGCGCAGUGGCUCAUGCCUGUAAUCCCAGCACUUUGGGAGGCCGAGGCGGGUGGAUUGCCUGAGAUCAGGAGUUCGAGACCAGCCUGGCCAACAUAGUGAAACCCUGUCUCUAUUAAAAAUACAAAAAAAUUAGCUGGGCGUGGUGGUGGGCACCUGUAAUCCCAGCUACUAAGGAAGCUGAGGCAGGAGAAUCACUUGAACCCAUGAGGCAGAGGUUGCAGUGAGCCGAGAUCAUGCCAUUGCACUCCAGCCUGGGCAACAAGAGCAAAACUCUUGUCUCAAAAGGAAAAAAAAAAGUCUUCUAAUAACUGAAUGAGUAUUUGUUUUUAAAUUUAAGGCAAGGACAUGAAGAAAUG
rnacentral:lncRNA from 1 species